AGUGAACGCUGGCGGUAGGCCUAACACAUGCAAGUCGAACGGCAGCACAGGAGAGCUUGCUCUCUGGGUGGCGAGUGGCGGACGGGUGAGGAAUACAUCGGAAUCUACUCUGUCGUGGGGGAUAACGUAGGGAAACUUACGCUAAUACCGCAUACGACCUACGGGUGAAAGCAGGGGACCUUCGGGCCUUGCGCGAUUGAAUGAGCCGAUGUCGGAGUAGCUAGUUGGCGGGGUAAAGGCCCACCAAGGCGACGAUCCGUAGCUGGUCUGAGAGGAUGAUCAGCCACACUGGAACUGAGACACGGCCCAGACUCCUACGGGAGGCAGCAGUGGGGAAUAUUGGACAAUGGGCGCAAGCCUGAUCCAGCCAUACCGCGUGGGUGAAGAAGGCCUUCGGGUUGUAAAGCCCUUUUGUUGGGAAAGGAAUCCAGCUGGCUAAUACCCGGUUGGGAUGACGGUACCCAAAGAGUAAGCACCGGCUAACUUCGUGCCAGCCGCCGCCGUAA
rnacentral:rRNA from 1 species